UGUUAGCCUUCAGCACAGCCAUUUCAAACAGCAUCCCAUAGCGAUCCCAUGUGGCAUCACACACUCCAGGGACAGAGAUAACACAGGCUUAGCUUAAGGAAAUAUUCAGCUACUAACUCUGAGCAUGAAAGCAGUAAUGAGAAGGGAAAAUGUUUAAGAUCACUCAAGUGCUUAUGCCCUGGCAGAAUAAUAACCAAAUCUCGUAUGCACAGUCACUGGGAAUGGUGCAGGCAUCAAAAACCAGCAUUCAGCUUGAAAAGGUGGGCAAAGUGGGCCUGGUUCUCCCUUUCAUGGACACUUUUUUACUGUGAUUCACAGUGAAGAGUUAAAACUCGUUGCACAGUGGAAUUUGCACUGACUGGUCAGUGGCCAAAGGAUCGACACAAGUGGGAAUUGCAGCUCUUUGUCCUUGGGAGCAGCUAGAAGAACAAAGGUAGAAUUAUCAAUGGGACAUUUUGGAAUGAGGGGACUCCAGGGAGAGUUUGGCCAGAUCACAUUCCAUGUGCGUACCAAGGAAGAACCUCAGGGCAUUGAGGAGCAUCCAAACAAAAGCCCUGAAGCUACACAUUUUCCAUGUUCCCUUCCCCAGUAGCUCCCCCUCUCCAUCACCAGGUCUGAGCUUCCAGCUGGGGAAAAACACUGUUGUGGUGAGCUCCAGACCGAGCAAAGAGGCUGAGCAGGAGAGAGGAGACUUCAGUUAGUCCCAUUAACCACCAGCCAAGGCCAACAGUAUUGCUGGACAGGAACGGUUAGUGGCUGGCAGCCAUCCCUGGAGCUGUAGAGAGUGUAGAUGUAUGAUGAGACCAGGGCAUUUCAAGAUCCCAGUUGAGGGUACCUGUCUUUUCCCACUGCUUCUGCCUUUGGAGCUGGCCCAUCAGCCUGGGAAACACCAGGGCAGCUCAGGCUAAGCCCCUCUUCCAGGAUCAGUCUCCAGGACUAGGUCAGGUCUGACCCCUGAAGGGUGUUAAGAAGUCCCAUUAUGAGUCCUUGCAGAUGCUCCAGUGCUCUUGGACAUCAUCUGCACACCCUAAUGAGGAAGCAGUGCAACUGACUGCUGGUAUCACUCAGCAGCAGAUUUGACCAUGCCAAAGGAGACACCCACAUGUGCUGCACAAACUUAUACACUUGGCCAGGCAAAUCCAAGAGCUUCCCCCAUUUCAUACACUGGGCCUUCCAGAUGGAGCCAAA
rnacentral:lncRNA from 1 species